AUGCUGAUCUCUUGGAAGCUCUGGAAGGAGCGCAAUGUGAGGGUCUUUCAAAACACCGUCACUCCUCCAACGGUCAUGGUUCGCAACAUCAAAGAAGAUAUUCGUUCGUGGGUGCUCACGGGUGCUAUGCACUUGGGUCGUGUUUGGUUGCUCGCAUGA
rnacentral:rRNA from 1 species